rnacentral:rRNA from 1 species
GAUGAACGCUGGCGGCGUGCCUAAUACAUGCAAGUCGAGCGAACAGACGAGGAGCUUGCUCCUCUGACGUUAGCGGCGGACGGGUGAGUAACACGUGGAUAACCUACCUAUAAGACUGGGAUAACUUCGGGAAACCGGAGCUAAUACCGGAUAAUAUAUUGAACCGCAUGGUUCAAUAGUGAAAGACGGUUUUGCUGUCACUUAUAGAUGGAUCCGCGCCGCAUUAGCUAGUUGGUAAGGUAACGGCUUACCAAGGCAACGAUGCGUAGCCGACCUGAGAGGGUGAUCGGCCACACUGGAACUGAGACACGGUCCAGACUCCUACGGGAGGCAGCAGUAGGGAAUCUUCCGCAAUGGGCGAAAGCCUGACGGAGCAACGCCGCGUGAGUGAUGAAGGUCUUCGGAUCGGAAAACUCUGUUAUUAGGGAAGAACAAAUGUGUAAGUAACUAUGCACGGCUUGACGGUACCUAAUCAGAAAGCCACGGCUAACUACGUG